CUUGACAUACCGAUGACAGGUCUAGAGAUAGAUUUUCCCUUUUAGGGCAUCGGAUACAGGUGGUGCAUGGUUGUCGUCAGCUCGUGUCGUGAGAUGUUGGGUUAAGUCCCGCAACGAGCGCAACCCCUAUUGUUAGUUGCCAUCAUUAAGUUGGGCACUCUAGCGAGACUGCCAGUAAUAAACUGGAGGAAGGUGGGGAUGACGUCAAAUCAUCAUGCCCCUUAUGACCUGGGCUACACACGUGCUACAAUGGGAAGUACAACGAGUUGCGAGGCGGUGACGCCAAGCUAAUCUCUUAAAGCUUCUCUCAGUUCGGAUUGUAGGCUGCAACUCGCCUACAUGAAGUCGGAAUCGCUAGUAAUCGCGGAUCAGCACGCCGCGGUGAAUACGUUCCCGGGCCUUGUACACACCGCCCGUCACACCACGAGAGUUUGUAACACCCGAAGUCGGUGAGGUAACCGUAAGGAGCCAACCGCCUAAGGUGGGAUAGAUGAUUGGGGUGAAGUCGUAACAAGGUAGGCGUAGAUGA
rnacentral:rRNA from 1 species